ensembl:lncRNA
CCUGUUGUCAGGGAUUCAAUCCUCAGUUUUUCAAAGAGCCUAACAUUAAAAAAAUAAAAUAAAAUAAAAAAAGAAAAACGAACAAACAAGCCUUCAUCUAAUUUUAGGAGCGUUUUUGUCUUUAUCACGUUAGGUGCUUCCAGGACAAUGUGUGGUUCAGAGCUCACAAUGGCUCCUGCUGAGCAGCCUCCCUACUGAUUCACAGCAAACUUUACAUCAAGAAGUUCCUCUAGUCUCUUACAUUGGUUGGAGGAGAAGCAGUACUGCUCACUGCAAAUGAAGAGGAAUACAGCAUCCUCAGGACAUUAAAGCAAAUAUACAAGGAGCGGACAGGAACAAGCACUUAAAAAUGCACGCUGCUAAGACUGUGAUAACAGGAUCUGGGGAGAAAGGCUUCAUAACUAUCAGUUUUUGGCAUGUAGUUCUGUACUGUCUGGUAAUGAAGAUGAAUCAUAUCUUUUGAAACCCUUUCUUUAAAAUUAGCUUAAAUGAAGGUGCAGGAGUGAGUGUUCUUGACCCUGGGCACUUCUACAGAACGUACAGUGAAGGUGAUUGCUGAAUUAUGUGGCUGAUGUUUGUGAGAUGGGAAAAAGUCCCUGCAGACACAUGAAAGGUAUCCUGGAACUAAGGCGGGCAGUGAUGUGCCCGUGACAGCUGACCUCAUCCUGGCUGGGUGGAUUUGUGCCCUUACAGAGCAGAAGUGAAGAGGAAAAAGCUGCAGCAGCCCCCUGUAUGCUCACGCCCUGAAACAGCUGCACAUUGGGCUCAGUCCCAGUGACGGGACAUACAGCAAGAACACUCAUGGCAAAAGACAUUCUGAAUGGCCAGAGGUGUUAAGAAUUGCCAAGACAGUGCUGGGAUGCCGAGUCUACCAGAAAGGUGAAGCUGCCUUCGUCUCCAGCACAGCAUGAAACCCGACUGUUGACACUGCUCUGGCAGUGGCCCACCUGCUGGCCACAGGGCUCUGAGCUAGAGGAUGGCGCUGCUCUGUAGGUGGAUUCAUCUGGAGAGGAAGGGAAGAAGACAAAGGAUUCCUGCCCUUGCUGUUUCUGCCCUUCUGCUCCUGCUCUCCCACCCUGCCUCGGU